rnacentral:misc_RNA from 1 species
GAUGAAGAACGCAGCGAAAUGCGAUAGGUAAUGUGAAUUGCAGAAUUCAGUGAAUCAUCGAAUCUUUGAACGCACCUUGCACUCCUUGGUAUUCCGAGGAGUACGCCUGUUCGAGUGUUAUGAAGCUCUCAAAACGCAAUUGGCUUAAAACCUGAUUGUUGUUUUGGAUUUGAACUUUGCCGUGUUAUAACGGCUGGUUUUAAAAGUAUUAGCUGGUACUAGAACGAAUUGGUUCUACUCAACGUGAUAAUUAUCUGAUCGUUGAGGACAUUCCUUUCACGAGGAAUGGCCAUAGUAAAUUCAAUGGACUGCUUCUAAUCUGGCUUUAAUUCUUUAUUGGAUUAACCACUUUUCAAAUCUGACCUCGAAUCAGGUGGGACUACCCGCUGAACUUAAGCAUAUCAAUAAGCGGAGGA